UAAAGAAUCUUUCGCAAUGGGGGCAACCCUGACGAAGCAACACCGCGUGGAGGAUGAAGGCGUUUUCGUUGUAAACUCCUUUUCUGAGGGAAUAAUCUUGAAGGUACCUCAGGAAUAAGCAACGGCUAACUACGUGCCAGCAGCCGCGGUAAUACGUAGGUUGCGAGCGUUAUCCGGAAUUAUUGGGCGUAAAGCGUGCGCAGGCUGAUUGUUAAGUUGGAUGUUAAAUCUCUGAGCUCAACUCAGAAUUGGUAUCCAAAACUGGCAAUCUAGAGAAAGGCAGAGGUAAGUGGAAUUCUGUAUGUAGGGGUAAUAUCCGUAGAUAUACAGAGGAACACCAAAAGCGAAGGCAGCUUACUGGGCCUUUUCUGACGCUCAUGCACGAAAGCGUGGGGAGCAAACGGG
rnacentral:rRNA from 1 species